rnacentral:rRNA from 1 species
UACGGAGGGAGCUAGCGUUGUUCGGAAUUACUGGGCGUAAAGCGCACGUAGGCGGCUACUCAAGUCAGAGGUGAAAGCCCGGGGCUCAACCCCGGAACUGCCUUUGAAACUAGGUAGCUAGAAUCUUGGAGAGGUCAGUGGAAUUCCGAGUGUAGAGGUGAAAUUCGUAGAUAUUCGGAAGAACACCAGUGGCGAAGGCGACUGACUGGACAAGUAUUGACGCUGAGGUGCGAAAGCGUGGGGGAGCAAACAGG